rnacentral:rRNA from 1 species
UGAGGAAUAUUGGUCAAUGGGCGCGAGCCUGAACCAGCCAAGUAGCGUGAAGGAUGAAGGUCCUAUGGAUUGUAAACUUCUUUUAUAGCAGAAUAAAGUGACCCACGUGUGGGUUUUUGUAUGUAUGCUAUGAAUAAGGAUCGGCUAACUCCGUGCCAGCAGCCGCGGUAAUACGGAGGAUCCGAGCGUUAUCCGGAUUUAUUGGGUUUAAAGGGUGCGUAGGCGGAAAGAUAAGUCAGCCUGUGAAAGUUUGCGGCUCAACCGUAAAAUUGCAGUUGAUACUGCUUUUCUUGAGUGUACAUAAGGUAGGCGGAAUUCGUGGUGUAGCGGUGAAAUGCUUAGAUAUCACGAAGAACUCCGAUUGCGAAGGCAGCUUACCGGGGUACAACUGACGCUGAUGCACGAAAGUGUGGGUAUCAAACA